rnacentral:tRNA from 1 species
UCAUAUUUUAAAUAUAAAAUUUUCCAUCGUGGUUGGAAAGAUAUUUUUUUUUUUUGAGUUAAUUUUAGA